UAUAAUAAUACAACUGAAAAACACUAGAUUGAUUUAAUUUGAACCAAAAUUACCAUUUUAAAACUAUUUGUGACAUGUAUGGACAUGCAAUAUCAUAAAUGGACACUAGAGGAUAGUGUUGAAUCUCGUAGUAGGCAUUUUCACCAUAAAGGAUGAAGAAAAAAUAUUGUUUACUUCCUGGAGGAGGCAGUCUUGAAAGCGUACAGAUAUGCUGGUUGGAUAACAGUUCGUGUUAGUGAUGACUGGCACUGUUCUGGAUCUUCAGAAAAGUACAACAUCAAACUAAUUAGCGUAAUAUGUUUAAAUUCAGAUCAUAUUUUUUUUAAAGUUUAUUUUUCACGACGUUGUGUUCAGUGUGCAUACCUUUUAGUAGCUUUGGGACACCAAAGAUAAACUUUUAGCAAGCUGGUUGGCAAGCAUGCCUUGCUGGAUCCUUGAUGCUGAAGGACAUCUGCCUACCUGAUGGUAGAGUUCUAUCCUCUGGCCUAAAGGACUGCUGUGAGGUAGCAGAGAAGUGGCGACGCAGUGUCUUAACGACAGAACAAAAAUCUGGAGGAAAGAUACCCAAGCAUCCCUGGAGAGGAAGCCCAAUCCAGACAGCAGAGUAUCAUCUGACCUCCGGCAGCUCAGCCUGGAUGACUUUCCAGAGGAUGGUGAGAGGCUAGUAAAGGACUCCAGAGAAGGACUAUCCAGAGAAGAAGACAGGAAUUAUGAGACAUUGUUUGGCGGCUCCUGGCUCUCACCCAGGGCAGAACAAGUCCCACAGGCUUUUUGUGAAGGAGGGUGUGGCCUCCUGUAGGGCCUCUGUAAGGCAGGUGUGUGAGGAGGCCCAUAGACAGUGUGUGCAGAUCCAGGGGGUUAGUAAGAAGGACUUGGAACAAGAUGAGCGCAGGAGGGGUCCACCAGGUUUUAUGCCUGCAUGCCAGUCCUCUGGGUUAUCUGCCAGAGGACAAUACCUCCAAGCCACCCAGGGACAGCAGUCGCAUCCCCCUCUGGCUACUCUUCGAUGGAGUGCAAGACCCAAUGAACGUUCUGCAUAUUUUCUUGGGGUAGAUCGAGUUGGCGGAAGUCUUUGUAACAGGUGGUGAAAGGGAAGACUAUUCCCGGGAACCGCGUCUGCAUUGAGGCACUGCUAACCGUCCUACCUCGCAGAGACCUGCACCCUGGCCUGGUGUCGAAUCCAUCAAUGUCUCUGUGGCAUCCUGCUACACUUACCCCUGUCGUCCUGUAGAGAUGGCCAUCGAUGACCGACUAGACUAGACAACUCAAGGUGUUUACUUUGGAUGCCCUCCCAGGCACUCCUCCCAGGGCUUAAUGACUGGAUUUACUGCAUCAAUUAGCCAUCAGGGUCUCUGAGAGGCCUGGCUGGCUGAUCGAUUGUUCUCUAGCAGCUGAUGUCCCCUUGCCGUGCUGUUCUGCACUGCCCUGUACCAUGCUAACUGCUUGUCUGAAUGUAAACUUAGUACAAUGUAAUUAAAUCAAAUCAAACAUU